UACGUAGGUGGCAAGCGUUGUCCGGAUUUACUGGGCGUAAAGGGCGCGUAGGCGGCCUUCUAAGUCGAACGUGAAAUCCCCGGGCUCAACCCGGGAACUGCGUCCGAUACUGGAAGGCUUGAAUCCGGGAGAGGGAUGUGGAAUUCCAGGUGUAGCGGUGAAAUGCGUAGAUAUCUGGAGGAACACCGGUGGCGAAGGCGGGAUCCUGGGCCAGUACUGACGCUGAGGAGCGAAAGCGUGGGGAGCAAACAGG
rnacentral:rRNA from 1 species